rnacentral:rRNA from 1 species
AGAGUUUGAUCCUGGCUCAGGAUGAACGCUAGCGGCAGGCUUAACACAUGCAAGUCGAGGGGCAGCGCGGGGCGGCAACGUCCUGGCGGCGACCGGCGGAAGGGUGCGUAACGCGUGAGCGACAUGCCCGUUGCCCGGGGACAACCGGUGGAAACGCCGACUAAUCCCCGAUGGGAUACGAUGCUGCAUGGCAUUGCAUUGAAAGUUACGGCGGCGACGGAUUGGCUCGCGUCCGAUUAGCUGGUUGGCGGGGUAACGGCCCACCAAGGCUACGAUCGGUAGGGGUUCUGAGAGGAAGGUCCCCCACAAUGGAACUGAGACACGGUCCAUACUCCUACGGGAGGCAGCAGUGAGGAAUAUUGGUCAAUGGGCGGAAGCCUGAACCAGCCAUGCCGCGUGCGGGAAGGAGGCCCUAUGGGCUGUGAACCGCUUUUGCCUGGGGGCAAUAAGGGCGCCGUGCGCGCCCGAUGAGAGUACCAGGCGAAUAAGCAUCGGCUAACUCCGUGCCAGCAGCCGCGGUAAUACGGGGGAUGCGAGCGUUAUCCGGAUUCAUUGGGUUUAAAGGGUGCGUAGGCUGUGCGUCAAGUCGGGGGUGAAAUUCCGGUGCUCAACACCGGGGCUGCCCUUGAUACUGUCGCGCUGGAGUGCGGAUGCCGCCGGAGGAAUGAGUGGUGUAGCGGUGAAAUGCUUAGAUAUCACUCAGAACACCGAUUGCGAAGGCAUCUGGCGAAUCCGUAACUGACGCUGAGGCACGAAAGCGUGGGGAUAGAACAGGAUUAGAUACCCUGGUAGUCCACGCCGUAAACGAUGAUGGCUAACCGCCGGCGGCAUACAGUCGGUGGCCAAGCGAAAGCGAUAAGCCAUCCACCUGGGGAGUACGUCGGCAACGAUGAAACUCAAAGGAAUUGACGGGGGCCCGCACAAGCGGAGGAACAUGUG